rnacentral:rRNA from 1 species
UUGAACGCUGGCGGCAUGCUUUACACAUGCAAGUCGAACGGCAGCGGGGGCUUCGGCCUGCCGGCGAGUGGCGAACGGGUGAGUAAUGCAUCGGAACGUGCCCAGUCAUGGGGGAUAACUACGCGAAAGCGUAGCUAAUACCGCAUACGCCCUGAGGGGGAAAGCGGGGGAUCGCAAGACCUCGCGUGAUUGGAGCGGCCGAUGUCGGAUUAGCUAGUUGGUGGGGUAAAGGCCUACCAAGGCGACGAUCCGUAGCGGGUCUGAGAGGACGACCAGCCACACUGGAACUGAGACACGGUCCAGACUCCUACGGGAGGCAGCAGUGGGGAAUUUUGGACAAGGGGGGCAACCCUGAUCCAGCCAUUCCGCGUGAGUGAAGAAGGCCUUCGGGUUGUAAAACUCUUUCGGCAGGAACGAAACGGUGAGCUCUAACAUAGCUUGCUAAUGACGGUACCUGAAGAAGAAGCACCGGCUAACUACGU